rnacentral:rRNA from 1 species
CCUACGGGAGGCAGCAGUAGGGAAUAUUGCUCAAUGGGCGAGACCCUGAAGCAGCAACGCCGCGUGAAGGAUGAGUGUUUUAGGGUUGUAAAAUCUUUUUGUUAGAGGAAAUUAUGACGGUAUCUAACGAAUAAGCACCGGCUAACUCCGUGCCAGCAGCCGCGGUAAUACGGAGGCUGCAAGCGUUAUUCGGAAUCACUGGGCGUAAAGAGUGCGUAGGCGGGUUAAUAAGUCAGAUGUGAAAUCUUGCAGCUUAACUAUAGAACUGCAUUUGAAACUGUCAGUCUGGAGUAUGGUAGAGGUAGGUGGAAUUCGUGGUGUAGCGGUAAAAUGCGUAGAGAUCAAGAGGAAUACUGAUUGCGAAGGCGACUUACUGGACCGUCACUGACGCUGAUGCACGAAAGUGUGGGGAGCAAACAGGAUUAGAUACCCGAGUAGUC